rnacentral:lncRNA from 1 species
CAGAAAACUACAGACCAGUAUCCUUAACAUCUGUACCAUGCAAGCUACUGGAACAUAUAAUCUGUAGACAUAUACUCAAACAUCUAGAGAAGCACAGAGUACUUACAUCACUAAACCAUGGCUUCAGGUCAGGCUAUUCCUGUGAAACCCAACUGCUAGUCACACUACACGACUUCAUGAAAGCCUUCGACGCAGGAAAACAAAUUGAUGUAGCUAUACUGGACUUCUCCAAAGCGUUUGACACUGUGCCGCACAACAAACUACUGCACAAAAUGAACGAAUACGGUAUAAGAGGACCACUAAACAAAUGGUUGGAG